GCAUAUCAAUAAGCGGAGGAAAAGAAACUAACAAGGAUUCCCCUAGUAACUGCGAGUGAAGCGGGAAAAGCUCAAAUUUAAAAUCUGGCGGUCUUUGGCCGUCCGAGUUGUAGUCUGGAGAAGUGCUUUCCGCGCUGGACCGUGUAUAAGUCUCUUGGAACAGAGCGUCAUAGAGGGUGAGAAUCCCGUCUUUGACACGGACUACCAGUGCUUUGUGAUGCGCUCUCAAAGAGUCGCGUUGUUUGGGAAUGCAGCGCAAAAUGGGUGGUGAAUUCCAUCUAAAGCUAAAUAUUGGCGAGAGACCGAUAGCGAACAAGUACCGUGAGGGAAAGAUGAAAAGCACUUUGGAAAGAGAGUUAAACAGUACGUGAAAUUGCUGAAAGGGAAACGCUUGAAGUCAGUCGCGUUGUCCGGGACUCAGCCUUGCUUCGGCUUGGUGCACUUUCCGGAUGACGGGCCAGCAUCGAUUUUGACCGCUGGAAAAGGGCUGGAGGAAUGUGGCACCUUCGGGUGUGUUAUAGCCUCCAGUCGCAUACGGCGGUUGGGAUCGAGGAACGCAGCACGCCUUACGGCGGGGGUUCGCCCACCUUCGUGCUUAGGAUGCUGGCAUAAUGGCUUUAAACGACCCGUCUUGAAACACGGACCAAGGAGUCUAACAUGCCUGCGAGUGUUUGGGUGGAAAACCCGAGCGCGUAAUGAAAGUGAAAGUCGGGACCUCUGUCGUGGAGGGCACCGACGCCCGGACCUGACGUUCUCUGACGGAUCCGCGGUAGAGCAUGUAUGUUGGGACCCGAAAGAUGGUGAACUAUGCCUGAAUAGGGUGAAGCCAGAGGAAACUCUGGUGGAGGCUCGUAGCGAUUCUGACGUGCAAAUCGAUCGUCAAAUUUGGGUAUAGGGGGCGAAAGACUAAUCGAACCCAUCUAGUAGCUGGGUUCCUGCCGA
rnacentral:rRNA from 1 species